GGGUCGUUAGCUCAGUCGGUAGAGCAGUUGACUUUUAAUCAAUUGGUCGCAGGUUCGAAUCCUGCACGACCUACCA
rnacentral:tRNA from 1 species